rnacentral:rRNA from 1 species
AGAGUUUGAUCCUGGCUCAGGAUUAACGCUGGCGGCGUGCCUAACACAUGCAAGUCGAACGAGGUAGCAAUACCUAGUGGCAGACGGGUGAGUAACACGUGGUCAACCUACCCUCCGGUGGGGGAUAACUAGCCGAAAGGUUAGCUAAUACCGCAUGAUACCUGAUGAGGCAUCUCAUUCGGUUGAAAGGAGCAAUUCGC